rnacentral:tRNA from 1 species
GGCACUGUGCCGGAUAAAACGGGUUACUUUGAUGUGGUGAAUUAUGAUACUUAAGUGUUUCCAGUGUCU